rnacentral:rRNA from 1 species
CACGUAGGGCGCGAGCGUUGUCCGGAAUUAUUGGGCGUAAAGAGCUCGUAGGCGGCCUGUUGCGUCCGCUGUGAAAGCCCGGGGCUUAACCCCCGGGUCUGCAGUGGAUACGGGCAGGCUAGAGGUAGGUAGGGGAGAAUGGAAUUCCCGGUGUAGCGGUGAAAUGCGCAGAUAUCGGGAGGAACACCAGUGGCGAAGGCGGCUCUCUGGACAGGUACUGACGCUGAGACGCGAAAGCGUGGGGAGCAAACAGG